UAGGGUUCUGGUCCCAGGUCAACGUGGUUCUCGUUCUGCUUCCUUGCUGCUUCCCAGCUCCCUGAGGGAAUGUAGUAUGGUGUUUUGCAGCCUUCACCCCUGAGGAAGCAAAGGGCCUGUAUCAAAUGAGCUGCUAUUUUGAAAGAAGCUUUGUUACUUCAUAGUGCCUGGUCAUUGUCAGAUUUUGUGAAACAGUAGUAAUGAAUGAAAACCAAUGUUUAUUGAGCACCUGCUGUACCAUUAGGCUGUGUGCCAGGCAUUUGACAGGCAUUAUCUCAGCUUUAUUGGUGGCCACAUUUUACAGGUAAGCAAACUGGGUUGCUCAAAGGAGUUGAGAACGUGUCUAUGUCAGAUAGCUGGGAUUUUUGCACACAGGUGAUCCCAA
rnacentral:lncRNA from 10 species